AUUGAACGCUGGCGGAAUGCUUUACACAUGCAAGUCGAACGGCAGCACGGGGGCAACCCUGGUGGCGAGUGGCGAACGGGUGAGUAAUACAUCGGAACGUGCCCGGUCGUGGGGGAUAACGUAGCGAAAGUUACGCUAAUACCGCAUACGAUCUGAGGAUGAAAGCGGGGGACCUUCGGGCCUCGCGCGAUCGGAGCGGCCGAUGUCAGAUUAGGUAGUUGGUGGGGUAAAGGCCUACCAAGCCGACGAUCUGUAGCUGGUCUGAGAGGACGACCAGCCACACGGGGACUGAGACACGGCCAAGACUCCUACGGGAGGCAGCAGUGGGGAAUGUUGGACAAUGGGCGCAAGCCUGAUCCAGCCAGUCCGCGUGCAGGACGAAGGCCUUCGGGUUGUAAACUGCUUUUGUAUGGAACGAAAAGGCUCUGGCUAAGACCUGGGGCUCAUGACGGUACCGUAAGAAUAAGCACCGGCUAACUACGUG
rnacentral:rRNA from 1 species